GACGAACGCUGGCGGCGGGCUUAACACAUGCAAGUCGAACGGAAAGGCCCCCUUGUGGGGUGCUCGAGUGGCGAACGGGUGAGUAACACGUGAGUAACCUACCCUUGACUUUGGGAUAACUUCAGGAAACUGGGGCUAAUACCGGAUAGGAGCUCCUGCUGCAUGGUGGGGGUUGGAAAGUUUCGGCGGUUGGGGAUGGACUCGCGGCUUAUCAGCUUGUUGGUGGGGUAGUGGCUCACCAAGGCUUUGACGGGUAGCCGGCCUGAGAGGGUGACCGGCCACAUUGGGACUGAGAUACGGCCCAGACUCCUACGGGAGGCAGCAGUGGGGAAUAUUGCACAAGGGGAGGAAGCAUGAUGCAGCCACGCCGCGUGCGGGAUGACGGCCUUCGGGUUGUAAUCCGCUUUCGCCUGUGACGAAGCGUGAGUGACGGUAAUGGGUAAAGAAGCACCGGCUAACUACGUG
rnacentral:rRNA from 1 species